CUGGAAUAGAACUGGCAACCUUUCAGAGCAUGGAGUAUACAAUGGAGUCUACCAGAAGCUACAUUCUGUCUGAUAUUACAGAGAUUGCACCAAAAGCAGAUGAGAAUGCAGCUGAGAAGGCAGACAUUAAAGAGAUUUGUAAAAAUAAAAAAAAGUCACUCUUUAUA